rnacentral:rRNA from 1 species
AACAGGAUUAGAUACCCUGGUUAGUCCCAGCCGUAGACGAUGGACACUAGUUGCCGGAGGAGUCAAUCCCUUCGGUGACGAAGCUAACGCAUUAAGUGUCCCGCCUGGGGAGUACGCUCGCAAGGGUGAAACUCAAAGGAAUUGACGGGGGCCCGCACAAGCGGUGGAGCAUGUGCUUUAAUUCGAUGCAACGCGAAGAACCUUACCUGGGUUUGACAUGGGGGUGAAAGUUUCCAGAGAUGGAAGCCUUUCCUUCGGGUACACCCCACACAGGUGCUGCAUGGUUGUCGUCAGCUCGUGUCGUGAGAUGUUGGGUUAAGUCCCGCAACGAGCGCAACCCCUGCCCUUAGUUGCCAUCAGGUAAAGCUGGGAACUCUAAGGGGACAGCUUGGUAUAACCAGGAGGAAGGUGGGGAUGACGUCAAAUCAUCAUGGCUCUUACGCCCAGGGCUAGACACGUGCUACAAUGGCAGGUACAGUGGGAUGCCAGCCUGCGAAGGUGAGCUAAUCCCUUAAAACCUGUCUCAGUCCGGAUUGGAGUCUGCAACUCGACUCCAUGAAGUUGGAAUCGCUAGUAUCGCGAUCAGCAUGCCGCGGUGAUACGUUCCCGGGCAUGUACACACCGCCCGUCAAGCCAUGAAAGGCGGUAGUACCCGAAGUCGCGUACCCAACCG